UGAUUGGCAUGUUUAUAUGUGGAAUCUGAGUUUGGAGCAUAAAGUAAUAAUUUUAGACAAUUUAUACAUGUUGGACGUGGAUUUGACUUAGGAGAAAACCAGCGAUUCUACACUGUCAUAUGUUAACACUACCAGAUUUAGUUAUAGGAGCCGUAAUUGUUUGUAUCGUCGCAGUUUGUGGGUGGGGGAUACCCAGGAUAGUGUAGAAAAUUUUACGCUCGUGCUGGGAUGCCGAGCUUAUUUUUACAGUAUUGUUCAGACUGUUCUAGAUUGUUGGGUGCCGUUGAGGUUGACGGUGGACCCAGAUUACUGUUUUUGCAUCAGAUUGUGUCAAGGGCACGUGC
rnacentral:lncRNA from 1 species